UACGUAGGGUGCGAGCGUUGUCCGGAAUUAUUGGGCGUAAAGGGCGCGUAGGCGGUGCGGUAAGUCACCUGUGAAACCUCUGGGCUUAACUCAGAGCCUGCAGGCGAAACUGCCGUGCUGGAGUGUGGGAGAGGUGCGUGGAAUUCCCCGGUGUAGCGGUGAAAUGCGUAGAUAUCGGGGAGGAACACCUGUGGCGAAAGCGGCGCACUGGACCACAACUGACGCUGAGGCGCGAAGCUAGGGGAGCAAACGGG
rnacentral:rRNA from 1 species